UACGUAGGGUGCAAGCGUUGUCCGGAAUUAUUGGGCGUAAAGAGCUCGUAGGCGGUCUGUCGCGUCUGCUGUGAAAACUCAGGGCUUAACCCUGAGCUUGCAGUGGGUACGGGGCAGACUAGAGUGCGGUAGGGGAGACUGGAAUUCCUGGUGUAGCGGUGAAAUGCGCAGAUAUCAGGAGGAACACCGGUGGGCGAAGGCGGGGUCUCUGGGCCGUAACUGACGCUGGAGGAGCGAAAGCAUGGGGAGCAACAGG
rnacentral:rRNA from 1 species